rnacentral:rRNA from 1 species
AUUGAACGCUGGCGGCAUGCCUAACACAUGCAAGUCGAGCGGAUGAACGAAGCGUUCUCUUGUCUUCAGCUGCGGACGGGUGAGUAAUUCCUAGGAAUCUGCCUUGUAUAGAGGGAUAACAUACCUAAACGGCCCCGAAUACAGCAUACGUCCUUAUGGAGAAAGUGGUGGAUCUUCGGACCUCACCCUAUCUGAUGACCCUAGGUCGUAUUAGCUAGUUGGUGUGGUAAAGGCUUACCAAGGCGACGAUCCGUAACUGGUCUGAGAGGAUGAUCAGUCACACUGGAACUGAGACACGGUCCAGACUCCUACGGGAGGCAGCAGUAGGGAAUCUUGCACAAUGGGCGAAAGCCUGAUGCAGCAAUGCCGCGUGAGUGAAGAAGGUCUUCGGAUCGUAAAGCACUUUUAGUUGGGAGGAAGGGAAGUAAGUGAAUAUAUUGCCGUCUUGACGUUACCAACAGAAAAAGCAACGGCUAACUUCGUG